CUGGAAAAAAAUAAUUGCAAGCCACAUAUCCAACAAAGAACCAGGACUAGAAUCUAGGAUAUGUAACUCUCAAAACUCAACAGUAAAAAGAAAUACAAUUGAAAAUGGUCAAGCUCCUGUGGAGGCGAGUGAAGCGCCUGCUGCUGAAAUUUGGGGGCAAAUAACUGGAGCCUGUUGGGAACAGGACUUAUAAAAGGAACUAUGUCUGGAAGGCUGUGGUCCAAGGCUAUUUUUGCAGGCUAUAAGCGGGGUCUCCGGAGCCAAAGGGAGCACACAGCUCUUCUUAAAAUUGAAGGUGUUUAUGCCUGAGAUGAAACAGAAUUCUAUUUGGGCAAAAGAUGCGCUUAUGUAUACAAAGCAAAGAACAACACAGUGACUCCUGGCAGCAAACCAAGGCACCUCGGGCCCACAGAAACAGUGGCAUGGUUUGUGCCAAAUUCCGAAGCAACCUUCUUGCUAAGGCUAUUGGACACAGAAUCCGAGUGAUGCUGUACCCCUCAAGGAUUUAAACUAAUGAAAAGUCAAUAAAUAAACGUGGAUUUGUACUCUUGUAUUUUU